CUUUAUUCUGUCAAACCUUAGCAAUUACAAUGGUAUACAGACACUACAUGACAUCAAUAAUACAGACAUAAAUACAUGAAUACACAGAGCAAAAUAUGUACACUAUUUACAAUUAUACUGAUAGUAUUUAGCCAGGAGGGCACACAUGGGAAUUUAUAAAUCUAAUGAAAGUACACAGCUUUCUCAAUUUAGAUUUUAUAUUUAAAUUCAUAAUUU
rnacentral:lncRNA from 1 species